GAUGAACGCUGGCGGCGUGCCUAAUACAUGCAAGUCGAGCGAACAGAUGAGGAGCUUGCUCCUCUGACGUUAGCGGCGGACGGGUGAGUAACACGUGGAUAACCUACCUAUAAGACUGGGAUAACUUCGGGAAACCGGAGCUAAUACCGGAUAAUAUAUUGAACCGCAUGGUUCAAUAGUGAAAGACGGUUUUGCUGUCACUUAUAGAUGGAUCCGCGCCGCAUUAGCUAGUUGGUAAGGUAACGGCUUACCAAGGCAACGAUGCGUAGCCGACCUGAGAGGGUGAUCGGCCACACUGGAACUGAGACACGGUCCAGACUCCUACGGGAGGCAGCAGUAGGGAAUCUUGCGCAAUGGGCGAAAGCCUGACGGAGCAACGCCGCGUGAGUGAUGAAGGUCUUCGGAUCGUAAAACUCUGUUAUUGGGGAAGAACAAAUGUGGAAGUAACUAUGCACGUCUUGACGGUACCUAAUCAGAAAGCCACGGCUAACUACGUG
rnacentral:rRNA from 1 species